UGAUAAAGAAGUAAUAAUGUGUAAUCUUGUACUGUGUAUGUUAUAUAUUAUAAGGAGAAGGAGUCAGGAAUCACAGAUCUGGGAUACAGAGUCUAUUUCGAAAGGGCUCAUUGACUUUUGGACGUUAAUGAAGCGUAUUCUUGGUCUUAGUUGAGGAUUGAAGAAAUGGAAAAACCCCCAUCGAUCGAAAGAAAGGAAUAAUUAUUCAUAGGUCUUGUCCGAAGAUGGUGCAUCUCUUUUCUUGAAUUCAGCUCACUUGGCCUUAGUUUGAUCCAGAGAGCACUAUAUACAUGCAGAGUGCACGUCUUUUCAGAAAAUACAUAUGUUGACAUAAACAAUCAUCUUUGGUAUAUCUACGUAGCAAAGAAAACUGCUUGAUUUGAUAAAAGAUUAUAGUUUGCCAAGAGGAAUCCAUAUGUUCGUCUCCUUGCCUCUUUAUUUGUUAAGGACUCCUAAACAAGGUUCGAAUUGCUCUUAUCAUAUUAUAAUUUUAGAAUGAUGAUCGGAAAGAAGUUUAAUCCUCGGAGUAUGCUUUUUAGUAUCCAAGGACGGACUCACGAAGAAAUUAUAGAGCUCAUAUCGUUUUGUAUCGUGAUCUUUCAAGCUUCACAUGAAUAAAUAUAAUAUAGACUUAAAUCAAUUCAUGAAUUAGUUCUUGACCUUAGAGUGAUACUGAUGCAUGGCGAACUAAAGGGAUGUUCGAUAAAGUCUACUAAAUAAUAAUUGUUUCCUCCAUUUAGGAUUUGAACCACUUAUCACUUUUUAACAUACACACGGAGUAACAAUGAUAUAUCAUAUGAUGGAUAGGAAUGGGAUAUCUUAAUUAUUCGUUAAUGAAUCAUAGUAAAGGGCUUCGUUGAGGCUUGAAAAAAUAGAAAAAACUCUAUCGAUAGAAAGAAAGGAAUAUUUAUUGAUGAAUCACAGCUCUUUCCGAAGAUGGUGGUUAGCCUCAUAUUUCUCUAUCGUAUCUACUUUUACUAUCAAUGGAAGUUAAAUAGCUGACGAAGGUGCAUCUCUUUUCUUGAAUUCAUUUCACUUGGCCUAGUAUUAUCCUAUUCUACUCCGCCUCCACUUCCUUCUCCAAAUGGAAAUCACCAAAAAAUCCUAUCUGGACAAACUACUUUAAAAUAUCUCUAUUACAGAUUAUUGGUAAAAUCAUCAUGCUGGAUCAAUAAUCUCCAUUAUAAAUUUCCUGAAUUUACUCAAUUAUUCUUCGGAAGCCUAUUUUCCCCUCUUGGAACUCUGUCUCUCUCGAUCGUACUCAAUCAAGAGGGUUAUCUUGUCAACCUUGUUUGGAUCAUUGUUCAUUGGAAAAAAACAUCAGCCCUAGAAGAUACCAUGUUUUGAUUUUUCUUACGUUGUGGAGUACGACUUUUUAUCUUAAUACAUAAUUUAUUACUGUUUA
rnacentral:lncRNA from 1 species